CAGCAGCCGCGGUAAUACGGAGGGGGCUAGCGUUGUUCGGAAUUACUGGGCGUAAAGCGCACGUAGGCGGCUUUGUAAGUCAGAGGUGAAAGCCCGGGGCUCAACCCCGGAAUUGCCUUUGAGACUGCAUCGCUUGAAUCCAGGAGAGGUGAGUGGAAUUCCGAGUGUAGAGGUGAAAUUCGUAGAUAUUCGGAAGAACACCAGUGGCGAAGGCGGCUCACUGGACUGGUAUUGACGCUGAGGUGCGAAAGCGUGGGGAGCAAACAGGAUUAGAUACCCGCGUAGUCCCUGUCUCUUAUAC
rnacentral:rRNA from 1 species